GCAGUGGUGGUCCAGGGGUAGAAUUCUUGCCUUCAAUGCAGGAGACCCAGGCUCGAUUCCUGGCCAGUGCA
rnacentral:tRNA from 1 species